AUGCUGAAGGUGGCGAUUUCCGGUCAACCCUGUAAUGUAUCUACCUCAACCCAUAUUCCAAAUAUUUCUCCCAUGUCCGAGAAAGCAUCAACAAACAUACCAUCAAAAUUUGUGGAAGUUGCUGCUGGUAAAGAAGUUUGUGAGGAUGGUUGUGAUGAUGUGGUGGGGCAAACUGAAGUUGAGGCAAACAAGGGUAAGGAUUGCAAAUUGGCUUUCAGCUCAAAGGACAAUAUUGUUGCAAGUGGCACAAUUGUUGACAUUAAUGUGCCUCAACAGCUGCUUCAUAAUAUUCCCUUAGGAGAGGGAAAUAUAAGAAAACUGAUGUCCCAAGGUCAGACGCUGGCUUCAUAUAUCGAUGAGGACAUAUUUGGGGUAGAAAAGAUGAUAUACGUCCUAAAAGUAGAUGUUAUCAGCUUCAUUCAAAUGAAUGAAAUAAGACAAGCUGUAAUAACCGCUUACAUUAGCUAUUUAUAUAAGUUGGUAAAAGACCAAGAAUGGAAACUAAUGAUUGCAUUUAUGGACCCAAGUCGUACCUUUCAUGAUCCGAAGUCACGGAAUGUGGUAGGGAGGGUUCAAUACAUUGUGAAAGCUUUGAACCAAGGCGCUCCUAAACAAGCUGAUGGAAAGAUGUGUGGUUAUUGUGUGAUGCGGUACACGAAGUAUGCGAGAAGUGGGAAAGAGAACGAAUUUUACACCCAAAUGAAAUUGGACAAGGAGAACACGGUAUAUUGGAAAAUAGAAUUCCUUUUUUUUAAUAACAGUUUUGAAAGUAAUCAAAUCCUAAUCCCUGGAUACGAUAAAUGCUCUGAGUUAUCAAAGCAGACUGCUCUUCACAUUGCAGCAUGUGCAAGGCAUAUUCACUUUGUGGAGGAACUGGUCAAAAUGAUGGAUGAAAAACACUUUGCACUUCACAACAAGAAAGAAAACACUGCAUUGAGUUUUGCCGCUGAAGCUGGAGCCAUAGAAAUUGCCAAGAUUAUGAUUCAGAAAAAAUAAGUUCUUGCCAACAAUUGAAACUGGUAAAGGACUGAAACCGCUCUUUAUAGCUGCUUUGCUAGAACGGUCUGAAAUGGCGUGGUCCUUAUACCCUAAAACGUAUCCAACACUAAAUGAAACGAACCGGAAUUCUCUAUUUUUUUCUUAUAUCGAUACUGGUCUUUAUGAUCUAGCCAUGAAGAUGCUAGAAGAUGAUACAACACUAGCAAUGGCCCGUAAUUCCAAUGCAGAAACUGCCUUACAUGUCUUGGCUCGAAGGCCUUUAGAAUUUGGUGGCCGAAGUACUUUAGGAAUGUGCAGUAGGCUCAUGAACUCAUUAGUCUCAGGCAUUGAGGAUUCGUACAAAAGCUCAAAGCAAACUAAAGCCCUAGAACUAGUCGAAUGCCUUUGGAAUCAAAUCUUGAAGCACAACGAUGACGAUGUCAUGUGCCUCAUCACAGAACCUUCGGAAGUACUAUUUGACGCGACGAGAUUAGGAAAUUAUGAGUUCCUGUCUGUGCUUAUUAAUGCUUAUCCUGAUUUACUAUGGGAAACAGAUGACGAAAAUCGGACUAUAUUCCAUGUUGCAGUCUUGUAUCGCCAUGCAAGUAUCUUCAAUUUAGUACAUGAGACGGGUUCAAUCAAAGACAUCAUAGUGACAUAUACUGAUGAUGAGAAUAACAACAUUUUACAUCUUGCUGCAAAACUAGCACCUCAAAAUCAACUCAAUCUUGUGUCAGGAGCAGCUCUACAAAUGCAGCGAGAGUUAGUAUGGUUUGAGGAAGUGAAAAAGAUUGUUCAACCUCUGUCCAUAGAUAUGAAAAAUAAGGACGGCAAAACACCUCGAGAAUUAUUCACUAGUGAGCAUGAGGGGUUAUUGUGUGAGGGAGAAUCAUGGAUGAAGAACACUGCAAAUUUGUGCAUGCUUGUUGCUACCAUUAUCACCACUGUCGUGUUUUCAGCUGCAUUUAGCAUACCAGGUGGUAUAGCUGAUAAUACAGGAGCACCAAAAUUCCUAAAAGAUACAGCAUUUCUCAUCUUUGCCAUAUCAGAUGGAGUAGCACUCUUUUCCUCUUCAACUUCCAUGCUGAUGUUCUUGUACAUCCUCACCUCGCGGUAUGCAGAAAACGAUUUUCUCAAAUCCUUACCGUUGAAGUUAAUGGUAGGACUCGCAUCACUCUUCAUCUCCAUGACAUCCAUGAUGAUAGCCUUCAGCACAGCCUUCUAUUUAUCUUGUCACUACGGAUUACGUUUCAUCUCGGAAUUUAUAUUUAUUUUUGCAUUUGUUCCAGUUGUCUUGUUCGUUUUCUUGCAAUGUCCACUCUUGUGCGAUAUGUUCUUGUCAACAUAUUAUUCAAGUCUUAUAUUUCAGCCAGGAAAACAUAUGAUCCAAUAGAAAGCCAAGUCCUCAAUGUUCAACCUUACCCCCAGAAUAAUGUGUAUCUAUGCAUGAUAAUUUAGGAAAAAUUUGUAAUAAAGUACUUUAGUAAUGGUGAUAUUGAUUCAAUAAGUCUUCGUACUUUGAGUGCUUGAA